rnacentral:rRNA from 1 species
GCGGGCGGUUCGCCGCCCGUGACUCUGCGAGAAGUCCAUUGAACCUUAUCAUUUAGAGGAAGGAGAAGUCGUAACAAGGUUUCCGUAGGUGAACCUGCGGAAGGAUCAUUG